CCUACGGGAGGCAGCAGUGAGGAAUAUUGGUCAAUGGACGCAAGUCUGAACCAGCCAUGCCGCGUGCAGGAAGACGGCUCUAUGAGUUGUAAACUGCUUUUGUACGAGGGUAAACGCAGAUACGUGUAUGCAGCUGAAAGUACGGUACGAAUAAGGAUCGGCUAACUCCGUGCCAGCAGCCGCGGUAAUACGGAGGAUCCAAGCGUUAUCCGGAUUUAUUGGGUUUAAAGGGUGCGUAGGCGGAUUGAUAAGUUAGAGGUGAAAUGUCCGCGCUUAACUCGGGAUCUGCCUCUCAUACUUUUGAUCUAGAGCGUAGAUGCGGUAGGCGGAAUGUAUGUUGUAGCGGU
rnacentral:rRNA from 1 species